rnacentral:tRNA from 1 species
GGCGGCGACGGACGCUGGCAACGGGCCGCUAACCCGCGGGGCCGGUUCGAUUCCGGCCGCCACCACCA